ACAGGCGUGUAAACAGAUCAUUAAAAUGCAAUGUCGCAAGGGCUCUGGGAGAGUCACAGACAAGGAGCACAGGGCAGGAAGUGACUAACUCACCCUGGGAGACGUCUCACAGAAGAAGUACUGUUCAACACGAGCCUGGAAAGGUGAGUUCAAUAGAUCAUCUGUGAAGAUGGCCAAGUUUGAGAGAGGAAAAUCUGGACAGGAGAGAAAGCAUGUGUCAAAGGAGCCCAGAACGUUCCGAGAAAGGAAGUCUGCCCCCGGGUACACAGCCGUAUAUUCUUCGCUGUGGCUCCCUCCAGCCGUGGCAUGCGGGACGCCGCCUCAGCGUGGUCCGAUGAGCAGUGCCAUGUCCGCGCCCAGGAUUCGAACCAACGAAACACUGGGCCGCCUGCAGCGGAGCGUGCGAACCCAACCACUCGGCCACGGGGCCAGCCCCUGGGGGAAGUGGUUUUUAGUUUGAGUUGGAAAAGAAAGAAGCAGCCGCUUUCCACUGAGAGCCAGAAGCCAAAAUCCGAACUGUUGUCGUGAGGUCACAAGGGUGAUCUCAUAUACGGUGCCAUCUAUUCCAUCUCAGGCCAUUCCUGUGCAGCUGCUUCGAGCUAAAACUCCUCCACGCUCCACUUCUGAUUUUCCAGGGUUUCCCUGUCUGUCAGUUUCAGCCUGCCCCCUCCUGUUAUUUUUAGAUUUGAUUUUAGUCCUUAUAAAGGGCCAGGGGUGAGGAUAGGGAGAAAAUUUUCUUCAUUUUAAUUAAAAGCAGAUGACAAAGACAACUCAGUCAUGGAAAAUAACAGGAGUCACACUGUCUCUGGCUCCCAUUCGCGUAUUUCCUCCAUCAGCUGCAAGCGAGCAGAGAAGCAACAACGCUAAUUGAGUCUCCUCUGCCUUUUCCAGAAGACACACAUGAUCUAAGCAGAUCUCACCCGAGAUUCCGUUAGAGAGCUGCACGUGCUCUCCUUCCCUUUCCAUUCCCCCUCACAGAGUGAUUGCAUUUUAGAGCUGGCAGGCAGCUUCUGUGACUAUCUUCAUAUUACCAGGAGGAGCCC
rnacentral:lncRNA from 1 species